AGCGAUGAAAAUAGUCAGAAUAGAAAAAUAAGAAAUAUGGAUAUAGGGGAGUCAUCUGAAAAUAAGAGAAGUUUUCCUGAACAAGUGAAAGGGCAAGUGGAUGGACAAAAACGAAGGAAAACGGGCAACGAUGAUGAAGUUUCAACUGGAGACGAAGAUAUAGAUCAACAAAAACUAUAUUUUUAUGCAACUCUAUAAACAGACGAUCGGUUGGAAAAGCCAUUGUUAAGCUAUGCGGACACGAAGGAACCAAGAAUGAUACGAACAAAGCACACCUGAGACGGUUACUGCAAGCAGUUAUUUCUCAUAUAGAUAUGGUAGACGAAGACACUUGGAGAAACGCCGAAGUGAAAAUAUAUGAUGAUAAUUUUGAUGUAUAUUCACUUCGUGCUGGAAAAGGGGAUGCUUUAUUUUUAGCAACAUUUGACGGGAUGAAUAAUCCUCAAGUUGUGAGAACGAGCAGAAAAAGAAUUGAAACUAGCGUAUCAAGAGAAAAGAAUUGUACAAUUAUGUAAUUAACGAAAAAACAAACAAACAAACAAACAAUAGUGUUUAUACUUCUGGGAAAAUGUUAAUCGAUUUUAUAAUACUAUACAGUUUGCAGCUUAUAGUUACAUUUGUUAAAUAAAUGUGUUAUCAGUAUGUUUGUCAAAGACAAAUUAAUUAAAAAUGGUAUAAAACAGAGCCGUACCUUGUAAAAAAAACUGACAUAUUACAUCCAGUAUGCCCAAAUCGUCUUCGAUAACACUAUUUAUUAUAUAUUCAACAGAACCACAAACGUCAAUAUUUUGUAAUUGACGAUGCUUAUGGUAUGUGACGUCAUUUGUUAUGUUAAUUAGAUCAGUAUGGUGUACGUUUAAAUAUCAGUAUUUUAACCAACCACAAGACUAUAAUGUGUAUCUCUGUGAAGUGUAAAUGCGUAUUUAAUAAAUGAAUAUUUCUUUUAAUGACUAAUAUUGCACUUCUAAAGUCGCACAAUGUUUCUGUCGCAGAACUGGUAUACCAACUAGAUACCAAUACAGACAGUUGUUGUGUAACAGAUAACGUUGUCACAUUGUCCAUUAUUAUAUAUAUUGAGGAAAAUAAAGCAUUUUCUUUCU
rnacentral:lncRNA from 1 species